rnacentral:rRNA from 1 species
AUUGAACGCUGGCGGCAGGCCUAACACAUGCAAGUCGAACGAGUGGCGGACGGGUGCGUAAUGUCUGGGAAACUGCCUGAUGGAGGGGGAUAACUACUGGAAACGGUAUCUAAUACCGCAUACCAUACGAUGUGCCCAGAUGGGACUAGCUGGUGGGUGGGGUAACGUCUCACCAAGGCGACCAUCCCUAGCUGGUCUGUGGGGGUGACCAGCCAACCUGGAACUUCGACACGGGCCAGACGCCUACGGGAGGCAGCAGUGGGGAAUAUUGCACAAUGGGAGCAAGCCUGAUGCAGCCAUGCCGCGUGUAUGAAGAAGGCCUUCGGGUUGUAAAGUACUUUCAGCGGGGAGGCGUUACCCGCAGAAGAAGCACCGGCUAACUCCGUGCCAGCAGCCGCGGUAAUUC